UGGUAGUGGGGGAUAACGUCCGGAAACGGGCGCUAAUACCGCAUACGUCCUGAGGGAGAAAGUGGGGGAUCUUCGGACCUCACGCUAUCAGAUGAGCCUAGGUCGGAUUAGCUAGUUGGUGGGGUAAAGGCCUACCAAGGCGACGAUCCGUAACUGGUCUGAGAGGAUGAUCAGUCACACUGGAACUGAGACACGGUCCAGACUCCUACGGGAGGCAGCAGUGGGGAAUAUUGGACAAUGGGCGAAAGCCUGAUCCAGCCAUGCCGCGUGUGUGAAGAAGGUCUUCGGAUUGUAAAGCACUUUAAGUUGGGAGGAAGGGCAGUAAGUUAAUACCUUGCUGUUUUGACGUUACCAACAGAAUAAGCACCGGCUAACUUCGUGCCAGCAGCCGCGGUAAUACGAAGGGUGCAAGCGUUAAUCGGAAUUACUGGGCGUAAAGCGCGCGUAGGUGGUUCAGCAAGUUGGAUGUGAAAUCCCCGGGCUCAACCUGGGAACUGCAUCCAAAACUACUGAGCUAGAGUACGGUAGAGGGUGGUGGAAUUUCCUGUGUAGCGGUGAAAUGCGUAGAUAUAGGAAGGAACACCAGUGGCGAAGGCGACCACCUGGACUGAUACUGACACUGAGGUGCGAAAGCGUGGGGAGCAAAC
rnacentral:rRNA from 1 species